rnacentral:rRNA from 1 species
UAAGGAAUAUUGGUCAAUGGAGGCAACUCUGAACCAGCCAUGCCGCGUGGAGGAUGAAGGUCCUCUGGAUUGUAAACUUCUUUUAUCUGGGAAGCAACGGGUCUUAUCUAAGAUUUUUGACGGUACCAGAAGAAUAAGCACCGGCUAACUCCGUGCCAGCAGCCGCGGUAAUACGGAGGGUGCAAGCGUUAUCCGGAUUCACUGGGUUUAAAGGGUGCGUAGGCGGAAUUGUAAGUCCGUGGUGAAAUCUCCGAGCUUAACUCGGAAACUGCCGUGGAUACUAUAGUUCUUGAAUAUUGUGGAGGUUAGCGGAAUAUGUCAUGUAGCGGUGAAAUGCAUAGAUAUGACAUAGAACACCAAUUGCGCAGGCAGCUGGCUACACAAAUAUUGACGCUGAGGCACGAAAGCGUGGGGAUCAAA